CCUACGGGGGGCUGCAGUGGGGAAUAUUGGACAAUGGGGGGAACCCUGAUCCAGCCAUGCCGCGUGUGUGAAGAAGGCCCUCGGGUUGUAAAGCACUUUCAGUGAGGAAGAACGCCUGGUGGUUAAUACCCAUCAGGAAAGACAUCACUCACAGAAGAAGCACCGGCUAACUCCGUGCCAGCAGCCGCGGUAAUACGGAGGGUGCGAGCGUUAAUCGGAAUUACUGGGCGUAAAGCGCGCGUAGGUGGCUUGAUAAGCCGGUUGUGAAAGCCCCGGGCUCAACCUGGGAACGGCAUCCGGAACUGUCAAGCUAGAGUGCAGGAGAGGAAGGUAGAAUUCCCGGUGUAGCGGUGAAAUGCGUAGAGAUCGGGAGGAAUACCAGUGGCGAAGGCGACCUUCUGGACUGACACUGACACUGAGGUGCGAAAGCGUGGGUAGCAAACAGGAUUAGAUACCCUAGUAGUC
rnacentral:rRNA from 1 species